UGCGCUCUGAAUGCAAAAUCAUAAUUUUCAGAUCCAGAAGACCUCGAGAGACUCAUUUUAUAGAAGAGGAAACUGAGAAGAAAGAGAAAAAAAAAAUGUGCUCACAGGCACAGGGCCCAGUGGGGAUUAGAACUCAGCUGUCAGACUUCUACUUUUUCCUUUUCGCUCCUUCCUGGUUGGAGAAACCGGUGUCACUAAGCAAAGUUCAAGAGACUGGUGGCUGGUGGUGAAACGGAUUCGCGGCUCACAUCACGGGCUGAUAAGGCAGUGUUGCGGGCUUUGAGAGUCAGGACUGUUAGGAUCCCUUGGAAGGCUCUGAAAGUCAUCAGAAGGCAGAAGCAUGAAGAUUUCUCCAUGAUGUCAUUAAUAAGGCGACACUGACCUCAGAAGUUAAUUCAUCUUGGACACACAUAUUGAGCAGCUGGUCGUCGAGGAGAGAAAAUGUCACUUUCUGUCGGAUUCAUCCAUCAUCUUCUACUGACAAAAUUUUAAUCAACAUCAUCACAUCUCUUUGGAAGCUCACAGGAAACAUCCUGACCAGACCCACCUGUGAAUGACUGCAGGAGGGAAGAAAUGAACACAUCCCCUCCAGAGGCUGAUGGGAAACAGGAAAUGUUUGACUUUGCUCCCUCCCAUUUUAGUAUGAAAGAAGCCUGAAUUGUAACUCAGGCAAGAGGGUUCUCUGGGACACUAGUCCACCAUCUUCU